rnacentral:rRNA from 1 species
UACGGAGGGGGCUAGCGUUGUUCGGAAUUACUGGGCGUAAAGCGCACGUAGGCGGCGCGACAAGUCAGAGGUGAAAGGCCCGGGCUCAACCUGGGAACUGCCUUUGAGACUGGCGUGCUUGAGUCCGGAAGAGGGUGACGGAAUUCCCAGUGUAGAGGUGAAAUUCGUAGAUAUUGGGAAGAACACCGGUGGCGAAGGCGGUCACCUGGUCCGGUACUGACGCUGAGGUGCGAAAGCGUGGGGAGCAAACAGG